rnacentral:rRNA from 1 species
AUUGAACGCUGGCGGCAUGCCUUACACAUGCAAGUCGAACGGGCUUUGGGGCUUGCCUCAAAGUUAGUGGCGAACGGGUGAGUAAUAUAUCGGAACGUACUCUUGAGUGGGGGAUAACUAGUCGAAAGACUGGCUAAUACCGCAUACGAUCUACGGAUGAAAGUGGGGGACCGCAAGGCCUCAUGCUCGUGGAGCGGCCGAUAUCUGAUUAGCUAGUUGGUGGGGUAAAGGCCUACCAAGGCGACGAGCAGUAGCUGGUCUGAGAGGACGAUCAGCCACACUGGGACUGAGACACGGCCCAGACUCCUACGGGAGGCAGCAGUGGGGAAUUUUGGACAAUGGGAGAAAGCCUGAUCCAGCAAUGCCGCGUGAGUGAAGAAGGCCUUCGGGUUGUAAAGCUCUUUUGUCAGGGAAGAAAAGGCCUGGGCUAAUAUCCUGGGUCCAUGACGGUACCUGAAGAAUAAGCACCGGCUAACUACGUGCCAGCCGCCGCCGUAA